GUUAUACAAAUAAUGCAAAUAAAUUUUAUUAGUUUAAGUAAAAUUUAAAUUNAAAAAAUAAAAANUAAUUUUAUUAGGUGAAAUUUUAAAAUUAUUUAAUUUUUAUUUUGAAUAAUUGAUUCUUAAAAAUUUUAUAUAAAAACUAGGAUUAGAUACCCUAUUAUUUAAAAUAUAUUUAUUUAUACUAAAGUAGUAUUAGUUAUGUUCUUGAAAUUUAAAAAAUUUGGCGGUAUUUUAGUCUAUUUAGAGGAAUCUGUUCUGUAAUCGAUAAUCCACGAUGGACCUUACUUAUAUUUGUAUUCAGUUUAUAUACCGUCGUUAUAAGAAUAUUUUUUAAAAAUAAUAAUUUUCAAUAAUUUUUAUAAAAAUUUAUAUCAGAUCAANGGUGUAGCUUAUAUAUAAGUAGUUAUGGAUUACAAUAAAUUUAUUUAUGGAUUUAUAAAUGAAAAUUUAUAAUAAAAUUGGAUUUAAAUGUAAAAUUAUAUAGAUUAAUAAUUUGAU
rnacentral:rRNA from 1 species